rnacentral:rRNA from 1 species
UGGGGAAUUUUGGACAAUGGGCGCAAGCCUGAUCCAGCCAUUCCGCGUGAGUGAAGAAGGCCUUCGGGUUGUAAAGCUCUUUCGCAAGGGAAGAAACGUUACGAGCGAAUAACUCGUGAUAAUGACGGUACCUUGAUAAGAAGCACCGGCUAACUACGUGCCAGCAGCCGCGGUAAUACGUAGGGUGCGAGCGUUAAUCGGAAUUACUGGGCGUAAAGCGUGCGCAGGCUGUUUUGUAAGUCAGAUGUGAAAUCCCUGGGCUCAACCUAGGAACUGCGUUUGAAACUACAAGACUAGAAUAUGUCAGAGGGGGGUAGAAUUCCACGUGUAGCAGUGAAAUGCGUAGAGAUGUGGAGGAAUACCAAUGGCGAAGGCAGCCCCCUGGGAUAAUAUUGACGCU